UCGGGUGUGGUGCACGGUGCACGGCGGCUUCUAUUCAGAGCUUUCAAUGUAAGCUAAGUAGCCGCAGUCCGGGGUUCGACUCCCCGCACCCGAC